UACGAAGGGGGCUAGCGUUGCUCGGAAUCACUGGGCGUAAAGGGUGCGUAGGCGGGUCUUUAAGUCAGGGGUGAAAUCCUGGAGCUCAACUCCAGAACUGCCUUUGAUACUGAAGAUCUUGAGUUCGGGAGAGGUGAGUGGAACUGCGAGUGUAGAGGUGAAAUUCGUAGAUAUUCGCAAGAACACCAGUGGCGAAGGCGGCUCACUGGCCCGGUACUGACGCUCAUGCACGAAAGCGUGGGGAGCAAACAGG
rnacentral:rRNA from 1 species